rnacentral:sRNA from 1 species
CUGGCUCUCCCUGUGCCUACAGGCCAAGGGCUGGGCCUAGCCUUCUACUUACAGCCUCUCCCAGAGACAACUUUGGGCCUUAGCCCUCACAGGGCCAGGGGCCCCAUCAUCUCUGACAUCCCAGAAGACUCUCCAUCCCCUGAGGGGACCAGGCUUUCUCCCUCCAGUGAUGGCAGGAGGGAGAAGGGCCUGGCACUGCUCAAAGAAGAGCCGGCCAGUCCAGGGGGGGAUGGCGAGGCCGGGCUGGCCCUGGCCCCAAACGAG